rnacentral:rRNA from 1 species
GACGAACGCUGGCGGCGUGCUUAACACAUGCAAGUCGAACGGAAAGGCCCUGCUUUUGUGGGGUGCUCGAGUGGCGAACGGGUGAGUAACACGUGAGUAACCUGCCCUUGACUUUGGGAUAACUUCAGGAAACUGGGGCUAAUACCGGAUAGGAGCUCCUGCUGCAUGGUGGGGGUUGGAAAGUUUCGGCGGUUGGGGAUGGACUCGCGGCUUAUCAGCUUGUUGGUGGGGUAGUGGCUUACCAAGGAUUUGACGGGUAGCCGGCCUGAGAGGGUGACCGGCCACAUUGGGACUGGGGUACGGCCCGGACUCCUACGGGAGGAAGCGGUGGGGAAUAUUGCACAAUGGGCGGAGGCCUGAUGCAGCACCGCCGCGUGCGGAAUGACGGCCUUCGGGUUGUAAACCGCUUUCGCCGGUAACGAGGCUUAGGGGCGUGUAUGGGUAAAGAAGCACCGGCUAACUACGUG